rnacentral:tRNA from 1 species
UCCCUGGUGGGCCAGUGGCUAAGGUUCCUUGCUCCCAAUACAAGGGUCCCAGGUUCAAUCCCUGGUCAGGGAA